AGCUUUGCGCAGUGGCAGUAUCGUAGCCAAUGAGGUUUAUCCAAGGCACGAUUAUUGCUAAUUGAAUAUAUAUUUCACUUUUCUUUUAAAACUCUUAGAAGACCCAAACUGGG
ensembl:snRNA U4 U4 spliceosomal RNA